CUGCUUCUCGCAGUGGAUACGCCACGAUCACGCUGGUGGGUUUCCCAGGGCGAGGCCCACCCAUUGCACUCAGGGUGUGCUGACCCCUGCGAUUUCCCCAAAUGCGGGAAACUCGACUGCGUAAUUUGUGGUAGUGAGGGACUGUGUUCCCAAACUAGCUCUCU